GAGAGAGAGAGAGAGAGAGAGAGGAGGGGGGAGGCUGCAGGGAGCUGCUGAAGAUUUAGAUUCUGCUGAAGAGACGGGGAACAUAUUGAGAGGAGGGACGACCACCUCCUUCUGAAAGCGCCGCUCCAUUCAGAGAGGAGGACAUUAGUAUUCUAAUGAGGGGGAGAGAGAGAGAGAGAGAGAGAGAGAGAGAGAGAGAGAGAGAGAGAGAGAGAGAGGAACUGAACACUUGUCAUGAUGGCGUUCUUUUUUCAUGCUGACUCAGCAGAACACCUGGUUCACCUGAAUCCAUGAUCCUCCAUGACUGCAGAGCUGCUGCUGAAGAUCCUGAACCUACCAGAGACCAGUCUACCUGAACUCAGACUAACAGGACCAUCAGAGACGUGGAUCCGUUUCCUGUUCCAACACGCUCGCCAUUAUCCCGGAAUUCAGAGCGAGACUCUCCGCUUUAAUGUUUUAAUAAGGCGGCGAACACCUGAAGCCCCGCAGCUCCAUCAUCUUCAUCCAUCAGGACUGACGGGACAGAAAAACCUCCUAUAGCCGCCCCCCCUCUGAGAUAAACCUGAGACUCUUCAGCCCGCCUAACAGGUCUACGUUUAAAGGGACAUUCUGCUGUAAAAUUAAUGAAGUAAUAAUCACCAUAUUUAUCAUUUUACAGACGCGGUAGUUCUUCUGUCUUAGCGUCUCGGUCUGAUUGUAUUUCCAUGAAGAAAUGAUCAUAAAUGUUCUUCCUUGAGCUGCGGCACCCCGCUGUAGUCCGUAAUGGACUGGCCUGAGGUCUCUCUACAAACAAGCGUCUGCUGGAAGAGAGUAGGUGAGUUGUGUUUAGUCUCUUUGCUAAAGAAAUGAGUCAAAGUUAAAAAGAUGUUUGGUGUCUAGUACUAUGUCUGUGACCCUAUAUGUACUAACCUCAGUAGAACAUGCUGUAGUUCUGUUCAGUAACAGAACCUCAUUGGAAAAUUAGCUGAUUUAACUUUACUGUGCUCUUGUUCAAAUAUAUUAACUCUACAGCACAUAAAUCCAUACCUGUUAACAAAAUCAUGAUUUUAUUGAUAAUUCGGCUCAAUAAAAACACCUUUACCUUUUCAUUUUACUACAGUAGAAGUUUAUUGGCCCAGCUUAUAGACUACAGAAGUGGAGAAACGCCCCCGCUUAAGUUUGUUUUCUUAGGAGUUAGAACAACUCUGAAUAUAGUACUAUGUCUGUGACCCUAUAUGUCCUGUUGAUGAAGUUAGGUGCUGUUCUGAGCAUUAUUUGUGGUUAUAGAGUGGCGUUUUGGUUGGGGGCGUGGCUCUCUGUAUUUCUAUCCUGCGGUCGUUACUAAAGUUGGUAUAACUAGAGAAGGAAGCGGUCGACAACAUUCAUCUCUGGAGGGGGGGUCUAACUCGGUGUUAUGGUGGGUUUGACCCUGAAUUAAUUUUACUCCAGAAUAUCCCUUUAAUAUCUCGGGUUAAUCACUUUAGUAUUUUUGUCUCUAGGGGAACUGACCCCCCUUUAUCAGACCAGGGGGGGUCUGGUGAUGGUGUGUUGAAUUUGGGUGACAGGGCCUCAGUGUGAGCAACAGCCCCCCCGGCCCCCCACAUAAUCCCCCAGAGAAAGACCCUCCAUUUAGGGACGAUACGCUUAAUCCUAUGGGGCCACAUUCACAAAGGGGCCCAGGACUUCCUCUGGCCUGGGAGCUUCCGCUGGUUCGGGGGGGGGGGGGGGGCAGUAAAAACAUGUAGCAGUAAUACAGGACUGUACUACAACACACAACAGACACACAAACAACAGACACACAGACAACAGACACACAGACACAGAAGCAGCAGUGGAGACAGGAGUCAGCAUCAAAAACACAAAUGAGGACAAACAUGAAGUUCUGAUGAGGAGCCAACGUAAACCAGCAGCCCACACACACACACACACACACACACACACACACAGAGCAGAGUAAACACACACUACAAACUGUGGGCAGAGUUGACACAGCCCCCCCCCCUACAUGACGGACAGACCAGGAUCACAGCGGCGUCUGGACUCCUCCUCCUCCUCCUGAAACUCCUCAGAUCUGUAAACUUCACUCCAAAAACUGAACUUCUGAACGUUAUCUCACCGCAGGGUCACACCUUUGACCCACUCUUUCUUUUCCAGUAACAGGCUCCGCCCACUCAGCUCCACGAGUUUAAAAUAACUCAGAGAGAGGAUCUAAACCUGGCGGUCUCAGGUCUGACAU